CAGUGAACCAUCUAGACAGAGGAUGAAAUGCAGUAGUUCACCAACAUGUUAUGUUUCUAUGAACAACCAGAUGCAAACGUCCUGGCAUUCAUCCUGCCUGCUUGCUGUUUGUACCAUCUCCGUGGUAGCAACCAUCCAAGCUGCUGGAAGCACAGACUGAGCUCUAUGAGUCAAUUAUUUUAUAUACCUGGGAACGUGCUAGCCUUCCUGUCACUCUUUGAUGUCACUAUGUAGACAGUUUGCAGCCUAGGCAACAUGCAUACAGAAUGUGAUUUCUUUCUCCAUCAUUUCCAUCUGACUAUCAUCUGGGAGAACACACAGCUGCUCCACAUCUGGUGCAACACAGGCAGAUGUAGCUGUCCAGAGGGAGAAGAGUGUUUGCUUUUCUCCACCUAAACACUGACCCUCUUCUGCUUAGAUUCAAAGACUGUCUUCCUUCUGCAGGUUUACCUGAGCCUGGACUCAAAGAAUUACCUUCAUUAUGAGCUAAAGGAAGUCAGGCCCAUUCUUCUUCUGCCUGGCCCCUCUGGCUCUUUGGCACUUCCCACAUCCUCCUCAUUUGGAAAGGCUUCAUGACUUUCUGGUUCACAAAGCAGCUCUGUUGUUGCUUAUUUCCACUACAGGGAAAAAGUGAAACACUUCACUCAGGGCGCAGAACAAUGGAAGUCCCUGGAAGGAAAGGCUUGCAAGAGAAAACCAAGUGGCUUCUGAGAUAUUCGAAAGUCCAGUUGUUUUCCCUUUUUAAAAAUUUUCAGAUGCUCUUUGAUGCCAUUUCAUAAAGCCUGUGAUUGGGCCAAAAGUCUUAGUUCACCAUGUACCACAAAUAGUGUACUCUAUAUAGCAUAUGCUUAACUAAGAAAAAAUAAAGAUUUAGAAAUA
rnacentral:lncRNA from 1 species